CUCUAAACUUUUCAAAGGUUUGACCCCAGCAAAUUAAAGUUAAAAUUUUUACAUUUUCAGGUAAAAUUUGCGUAAUAAAGUAAUUAUUUUUGUGAAAUGAUAACUAUUUUUGUAAAAUACAGUCAAUUUACAUGCAAUUUGUUUGCGAAAUUUGCUUUAGAAAACGCCAGAAAUUCAGUCCUAGAGCUUCAAAAAUGUAAUAAUUUUCUGGGUGAGGACCCCCAGACCCAAUGCUUGAGUAUAUCAGACAUCUUGAGGAACUGCAAAUUGUAUCUAUGAUAAGAGAGAAUUCUGGAUUGUACUCCUUCGAUUCCGAAUUUUAAAAACUUGGAGGGGGGCAUCGAAAUUUACCGAUAACCUCAACAGAGGCCCUGUAAAAAUAUGAGCUUUUUUCAAGACAUCUUCAUCCCCCUCCCUCGGUGUAAUAGAUGUACUUUCCCUUACGUUCUUAAAGGGAUACGGCAAUAUAUAUUUUUAUUAUUUUAUUUUAAAGAACUUUUAAAAUUAUAUGUUAAUCUCCUUUGCCGAUUUUGCGUAACUUUAUUAUUACUUCAAAUAUUUUGACUUAAAAUAAUUUGCUGUCGGCCAUCUUGGAUUAAUUUUGAUCUCAUUAUCGGUGAUUUUAGUGACGUCAUAAGCAGGCUUAGCCAUAUAAAACUACAUCUAAAUGACCAAAUAACAUUAAGUCUUGUUUGAAAAGUCGUCAGACAGUUUUUUAUUUCAAAUAGUUACUGAACUAUAUGUUGUUGGGCUCCCUGCUUAUGAUGUCACAUGCAUAUCCGCCAAAAUCCAAGAUGGGCGGAAAGCUUGCUGAUUUGUGAUUUUUUCUUUUCAAAUAUCUCAAGAAAUAAUAAAGUUACGCAAAACCGGUAAAGGAGAUUUAUAUAUAAUUUUAAAAGUUCUUUAAAAUGAAAUAAUAAAAUAUUUUGCCGCAUCCUUUUAACUGUGUUUAUCCUAUAUAAACACCAAAGCGGCCCCCCAUAGGAUAAAAGUCUAAAUUUGAACUCUUAAUGGGGGAUUUACAGUAAAGCCCGGUAAAAUGAGCUGGUGCCUUGUGUGAAAUUUUUCUUCAAUUUCGCCUGUUUUUAAAUCCUCAAUAAAUUGCUUAUAUGUGUUCAAUGGGGGGGAUUAAGUAACUAUAAAUAUCCUGGCCCCUGGGAGAGUAUUUUAGAAAAAAAAUGCUAAAAAAUAUAAAAAUACUUGUUCGGCGAGAAUCGGUCCAUAUUACUCAUUUGACAGACGUUGUUACAAGUUGUUACAAGUCUGCAAACAAGUUGUUACAAAUCUGUUCACAAGCUGUCAACAAGUUGUGUUCGCACUGCUUGUUCCCAGUUGUUGUAACAAG